CCUGUCGAGGUUGAGAAGACCGAAAGCGUCCUCUGACGUUCGCUUGUGGGAGACGGAAGCAGAAGAACACGCGGUGAAGAAAGCGGUUCAAGAUGUUCAGCCGGUGUAAUAGAUUUAACAAGUUGAAGGAGUUCCUUUCCUUCGAGUUCAGAAAAGGUCAUGGUACGUCCAAAAGAAAGGCCCUUCCUCUACUACGUCAAGAAACGGUUUCCAUCAGCAUGAGCAUCUCUUUUUGUUUGUGUGUGUGUAGUUUGGCAGUAUCCUGGUUACAGUCACCCUGGAUGGCUCCUCCACAUGCACAAUUACACAGGUAACAGUUACCUGAUCUGCCUCAGCCCCACUAUAUAUAGCCUGGUCUUAUCCAUCUGCCCGAGUUAAAAAUAGCUCUGCCCCAUGCUUCCACACUGUGUCAACCCUCCCUGCCCCCUCCUCCAAAGACAAAUACACACACAUCCCCGUCCUCUCCUUCUCCAACAACAUCCCCCCCUCCCGUCCUUCCACAUCUCUUCACAUCUCCUCCCCCCUCGUGUCCUGCCUACUCAGCGUACAGCUGCGGGUUUGAGGAAGGGGAGCGAGAGUGUCGGACGGCCCCAGAAGAGGAAACGGAUGAAGUCUGUUUAAUUCUUCAGUGGAGUUGAACUGAGGAGUGAAGAGUGGACGUGGAAGUGCAUUCGUUUUUACGACGCUUUCUAGCAAACAACUGUCAGCGAUGUGCAACAGUGUGUAAAUGAAUGAAUCGUAGUAAAACACGCAUAGUAAAAAUCGAA